rnacentral:rRNA from 2 species
CUCUCCCAAAUUGAUUUUAUGCUUGCAUAAAUGAUUUUUGGAUUCGGAGCGAGUGGCGAACUGGUGAGUAACACGUGGGUAACCUGCCCCGAAGCGGGGGAUAACAUUUGGAAACAAGUGCUAAUACCGCAUAAUUAGUUGGAACCGCAUGGUUCCAACUUGAAAGAUGGCUCUGCUAUCACUUUGGGAUGGACCCGCGCCGUAUUAGUUAGUUGGUGAGAUAAAAGCCCACCAAGACGAUGAUACGUAGCCGACCUGAGAGGGUAAUCGGCCACAUUGGGACUGAGACACGGCCCAGACUCCUACGGGAGGCAGCAGUAGGGAAUCUUCCACAAUGGACGAAAGUCUGAUGGAGCAACGCCGCGUGAGUGAUGAAGGUUUUCGGAUCGUAAAACUCUGUUGUUAAAGAAGAACAAGUGUUAGAGUAACUGUUAACACUUUGACGGUAUUUAACCAGAAAGCCACGGCUAACUACGUGCCAGCAGCCGCGGUAAUACGUAGGUGGCAAGCGUUGUCCGGAUUUAUUGGGCGUAAAGCGAGCGCAGGCGGUUUUGUAAGUCUGCUGUGAAAGCCCUCAGCUCAACUGAGGAAGUGCAGUGGAAACUACAAAACUUGAGUACAGAAGAGGAAAGUGGAACUCCAUGUGUAGCGGUGAAAUGCGUAGAUAUAUGGAAGAACACCAGUGGCGAAGGCGGCUUUCU